rnacentral:rRNA from 1 species
AUUGAACGCUGGCGGCAGGCUUAACACAUGCAAGUCGAGCGAGCGGCGGACGGGUGAGUAAUGUCUGGGAACCUGCCUGAUGGAGGGGGAUAACUACUGGAAACGGUAUCUAAUCCCGCAUACCAUCAGAUGUGCCCAGAUGGGAUUGGCUAGUAGGUGGGGUAAUGGCACACCUGGGCGACGACCCCUAGCUGGUCUGAGAGGAUGCCCAGCCACACUGGAACUGAGACACGGUCCAGACGCCUACGGGAGGCAGCAGUGGGGAAUAUUGCACAAGGGGCGCAAGCCUGAUGCAGCCAUGCCGCGUGUGUGAAGAAGGCCUUCGGGUUGUAAAGCACUUUCAGCGGGGAGGCGUUACCCGCAGAAGAAGCACCGGCUAACUCCGUGCCAGCAGCCGCGGUAAUUC